rnacentral:rRNA from 1 species
GACGAACGCUGGCGGCGUGCUAACACAUGCAAGUCGUACGGUAAGGCCCUUUCGGGGGUACCCGAGUGGCGAACGGGUGAGUAACACGUGAGUAACCUGCCCACAACUUUGGGAUAACGCUAGGAAACUGGUGCUAAUACUGGAUAUGUGCUCCUGCUGCAUGGUGGGGGUUGGAAAGCUCCGGCGGUUGUGGAUGGACUCGCGGCCUAUCAGCUUGUUGGUGGGGUAGUGGCCUACCAAGGCGGCGACGGGUAGCCGGCCUGAGAGGGUGACCGGCCACAUUGGGACUGAGAUACGGCCCAGACUCCUACGGGAGGCAGCAGUGGGGAAUAUUGCACAAUGGGCGCAAGCCUGAUGCAGCAACGCCGCGUGCGGGAUGACGGCCUUCGGGUUGUAAACCGCUUUCAGCAGGGACGAAGCUUUUUGUGACGGUACCUGCAGAAGAAGCACCGGCUAACUACGUG